rnacentral:rRNA from 1 species
CGGAACGUGCCCGAUCGUGGGGGAUAACGGAGCGAAAGCUUUGCUAAUACCGCAUACGAUCUACGGAUGAAAGCAGGGGACCGCAAGGCUUUGCGCGGACGGAGCGGCCGAUGGCAGAUUAGGUAGUUGGUGGGAUAAAAGCUUACCAAGCCGACGAUCUGUAGCUGGUCUGAGAGGACGACCAGCCACACUGGGACUGAGACACGGCCCAGACUCCUACGGGAGGCAGCAGUGGGGAAUUUUGGACAAUGGGCGAAAGCCUGAUUCAGCCAUGCCGCGUGCAGGAUGAAGGCCUUCGGGUUGUAAACUGCUUUUGUACGGAACGAAAAGCCUCUUUCUAAUAAAGAGAGGUCAUGACGGUACCGUAAGAAUAAGCACCGGCUAACUACGUGCCAGCAGCCGCGGUAAUACGUAGGGUGCAAGCGUUAAUCGGAAUUACUGGGCGUAAAGCGUGCGCAGGCGGUGAUGUAAGACAGAUGUGAAAUCCCCGGGCUCAACCUGGGAACUGCAUUUGUGACUGCAUCGCUGGAGUGCGGCAGAGGGGGAUGGAAUUCCGCGU